rnacentral:rRNA from 1 species
GCCAUGCAUGUCUAAGUACAUACUUUAAUACAGUGAAACCGCGAAUGGCUCAUUAAAUCAGCUAUGGUUCCUUAGAUCGUAUAUACUACAUGGAUAACUGUAGUAAUUCUAGAGCUAAUACAUGCCACUAUGCCCUGACCCGCAAGGGAACGGGUGGAUUUAUUAGAACAGAACCAAUGGGAGAUGGGUGGUAAAACACCUGUGUUCGUUGCAAAAUCUGUGAUGACUCUGGAUAACUUUAAUGAUCGCAGUCGGCCUUGUGUCGGUGACAGGUCUUUCAAAUAUCUGCCCUAUCAAUUUGUUGGUACGUGACCUGCCUACCAUGAUAAUAACGGGUAACGGGGAAUCAGGGUUCGAUUCCGGAGAGGGAGCCUGAGAAAUGGCUACCACAUCCAAGGAAGGCAGCAGGCGCGAAAAUUACCCACUCCCAGCACGGGGAGGUAGUGACGAAAAGUACGGAUACGGGACUCCAUUGAGGCUCCGUAAUUCGAAUGAGUACAAUCUAAAUCCUUUAACGAGGACCAAUUGGAGGGCAAGUCUGGUGCCAGCAGCCGCGGUAAUUCCAGCUCCAAAAGCGUAUAUUAAAGUUGCUGCAGUUAAAAAGCUCGUAGUUGGAUCUGGGCAGUGUGAUCGCAUAUUGUUUCUUGUUUUCACCUAACUUGGUUACGAUCAGGGAGGGUGCUUGAUUCGAUGUAGCGAUUGUACAGCCUUUCAGCCGUGUCUGUUGUCAAAAAACAGGUGCUGAUUUGUAAUUUGAUAAGUUUGCGCUUAUUGAUUCAAAUUGGCAUGCUCCUGGAUGCCUUUAAACGGGUGUUAGGAGCGGGCGGCAUUUUUACUUUGAACAAAUUUGAGUGCUCAAAGCAGGCUUGAAUGCCUGAAAAAUCUUGCAUGGAAUAAUGGAAUAGGACUUCGGUUCUAUUUUAUUGGUUUUCGGAUCCGAAGUAAUGGUUAACAGGGACAGACGGGGGCAUUUGUAUGGCGGUGUUAGAGGUGAAAUUCUGAGAUCGCCGCCAGACAAACUAUAGCGAAAGCAUUUGCCAAGAAUGUUUUCAUUGAUCAGGAGCGAAAGUCAGAGUUUCGAAGACGAUCAGAUACCGUCGUAGUUCUGACCAUAAACGAUGCCAACUGACGAUCCGCGGAGGUACUUUGUUUGACCCCGUGGGCAGUCUCCGGGAAACCCUUAAGUUUUUGGGCUCCGGGGGAAGUAUGGUUGCAAAGCUGAAACUUAAAGGAAUUGACGGAAGGGCACCACCAGGAGUGGAGCCUGUGGCUUAAUUCGACUCAACACGGGAAAACUCACCCGGCCCGGACACUGUGAGGAUUGACAGAUUGAGAGCUCUUUCUUGAUUCGGUGGUUGGUGGUGCAUGGCCGUUCUUAGUUGGUGGAGCGAUUUGUCUGGUUAAUUCCGAUAACGAACGAGACUUUAACCUACUAAAUAGUAUGCCUGUCCUCUGUGUUCGUGCAGGUCAUGGCUAUAACUGCUUCAAUUCCUUGAAGUGGUGGGGUCAUGUGCCGGCGAAUGCGGUGCGGGUGUUUACUUCUUAGAGGGACAAGCGGUGCUAAAAACAGCCGCACGAAAUUGAGCAAUAACAGGUCUGUGAUGCCCUUAGAUGUCCGGGGCUGCACGUGCGCUACAAUGGCAGUGCCAACGAGUCUGGAAACCUUACCUGAAAUGGUUUGGCAAACUGUUCCAUCACUGUCGUGACAGGAAUCGGGGCUUGCAAUUAUUCCCCGUGAACGAGGAAUUUCUGGUAAGUGCAAGUCAUAAGCUUGCGCUGAUUACGUCCCUGCCCUUUGUACACACCGCCCGUCGCUACUACCGA